rnacentral:pre_miRNA from 1 species
UUCGCAGUAGAGUACUGCGAAUUAAUUAAUUUUUUUUUAAUUAAUUCGCAGUACUAUACUGCGAA